rnacentral:rRNA from 1 species
AGAAUCAACGCUGGCGGCGUGCCUAACACAUGCAAGUCGCACGAGAAAGGGGAGCAAUCCCUGAGUAAAGUGGCGCACGGGUGAGUAACACGUGAAUUAUCUACCUCCGAGUGGGGAAUAACCUAGAGAAAUCUGGGCUAAUACCGCAUAACACUUACGAGUCAAAGCAGUAAUGCGCUUGGAGAGGAGUUCGCGGCAGAUUAGCUAGUUGGCGGGGUAAUGGCCCACCAAGGCAAUGAUCUGUAUCCGGCCUGAGAGGGCGCACGGACACACUGGAACUGAAACACGGUCCAGACUCCUACGGAGGCAGCAGUGGGGAAUUUUGCGCAAUGGGGGAAACCCUGACGCAGCAACGCCGCGUGGAGGAUGACGCCCCUUGGGGUGUAAACUCCUUUCGAUCGGGAAGAUGAUGACGGUACCGAUAUAAGAAGCCCGGCUAACUCGUGCCAGCAGCCGC